AAUAAACAGCUGCGCCAUGAGCGCAUGAUACGCCCGACGUCUUGUGUGGAAGUACAAUGCAAUAAUCAUAAAUAGUUUCUGAGAAAGUUUUAAGCAAUAACCAUAUAUUGUUUUUAGACACGGCGGGACAUGUGAAACCCCCAACCCUGUAUUUUUUUUACAAAAAACUAAAUAUCACUACAAUAAAAUUUUGAAUCAAAACCAAAAAGUAUACAGAUCUUUAGAUUAAUAUAACAAAGAAGUGUGUAAAGUUUUAAGCAAUAAUAAUAAAUUAUUUUUGAGAUACGGCGCGACACAUAAAAAAACCC
rnacentral:lncRNA from 1 species